rnacentral:tRNA from 1 species
GUGUCUGUAGCCUAGUUGGUAAAGGCAGCAGUCUAGUAAGCUGAGGUUGUGAGUUUGACUCUCACCAGACACA